rnacentral:rRNA from 1 species
CCCUUAGAUGUCCUGGGCGGCCCGCGCGCUACAAUGUCAGCUCCUGAAGGUUAAUGCUUUGAAAGAGAGCGCGCUCUCCUUUUAAUUGCUCGCAUGCUGGGAUAAAUGAAUGCAAUUUUGUUUUGAACGAGGAAUUCCUAGUAGCCAUGUUUCACUAGAAGAUGGCGAAUGCGUCCCUGCCCUUUGUACACACCGCCCGUCGCUCCUACCGAUGAGCGUUUUGGCGAAGACGGUUUGAGUAGCUGCGUAAUUUCGUGUUGUUGACUCCGGCAGUUUGAGCCUUCACGUUUAGAGGAAGGAGAAGUCGUAACA